UACGUAGGGUGCGAGCGUUGUCCGGAAUUAUUGGGCGUAAAGGGCUCGUAGGCGGUCUGUCACGUCGGGAGUGAAAACUCAGGGCUUAACCCUGAGCCUGCUUCCGAUACGGGCAGACUAGAGGUAUGCAGGGGAGAACGGAAUUCCUGGUGUAGCGGUGAAAUGCGCAGAUAUCAGGAGGAACACCGGUGGCGAAGGCGGUUCUCUGGGCAUUACCUGACGCUGAGGAGCGAAAGUGUGGGGAGCGAGCAGG
rnacentral:rRNA from 1 species